CAACGAUAAUUUGGCCCUCGCAGCUUAAUUGACUGCGACGUCUCUCCCCUUUUUGUCUGCGGGAGGGGAAGAGGCGACACUUUGCAGGCUGGUCCAAUGCUGAUGCUCAGAGGCGGCGGAUGAGAACGUUCUGGGCUAGCGGGCGCUCUAAGCCGGUCGGUGGGCGUGGGCAACUGCGAAUAACAAAUCAUCGGCUACACACGUAGGGCUGUUGUGCUGAAUGUUCUCGGACAGGGGUUCGAUUCCCCUCACCUCCACCA
rnacentral:tmRNA from 1 species